GCCUCAGACAACAACAUUGAUGUAUACGCUGAUUCGGUGAGCAAGUUCAUUACCAAGUGCAUCGGUGAUGUUGUACCCACUGAGACUAUUAAAACCUUCCCCAUCCAGAAACCGUGGAUUGAUAGCAGCAUUCGCGCAAAACUGAAAGCGCAAACCACCGCUUUUAAUCAUAGCAAGGCGACCGGAAACAUGACCGAAUAUAAACAGUGUAGCUAUUCCCUCCUCAAGGCAAUCAAACACGCUAAGCGUCAGUAUAGAGACAAAGUAGAGUCGCAAUACAACGGCUCAGACACAAGACGUAUGUGGCAGGGUCUACAGUCAAUCACGGAUUACAAAAAGAAAAUCAGCCCCGUUGCGGACACCGACAUCUUGCUCCCAGACAAUUUAAACAACCUCUUUGCUCGCUUUGAGGACAAUGCAGUGCCACUGACACAGCCCGCUACCAAAACCUGCGGGCUCUCCUUCACCGCAGCCAAUGUGAGUAAAACAUUUAAACAUGUUAACCCUCGCAAGGCUGCUGGCCCAGACGGCAUCCCUAGCCGCGUCCUCAGAGCAUGUGCAGACCAGCUGGCUGGUGUGUUUACAGAUAUAUUCAAUCAAUCCCUAUCCCAGUCUGCUGUUCCCACAUGCUUCAAGAGGGCCACCAUUGUUCCUGUUCCCAAGAAAGCUAAGGUAACUGAGCUAAACGACUAUCUCCCCGUAGCACUCACUUCUGUCACCAAGAAGUGCUUUGAGAGACAAGUCAAGGAUCAUAUCAUCUCCACCCAACCUGACACCCUAGACCCACUCCAAUUUCCUUACCGCCCAACUUGUCCACAAAAGACACAAUCGCAAUCACACUGCACACUGCCCUAACCCAUCUGGACAAGAGGAAUGUAAGAACGCUCUUCAUUGACUAUAGCUCAGAAUUUAACACCAUAGUACCCUCCAAAGUCGUCAUUAAGCUCGAGACCUUGGGUCUCGACCCCGCCCUGUGCAACUGGGUCCUGGACUUUCUGACGGGCCACCCCCAGGUGGUGAAGGUAGGAAACAACAUCUCCACCCCGCUGAUCCUCAACACUGGGACCUCACAAGGGUGCGUUUUCAGCCCUCUCCCGUACUCCCUGUUCACCCACGACUGCGUGGCCAUGCACGCCUCCAACUCAAUCAUCAAGUGCACAAGAAAGCCCGACGACACUACAGUGGUAGGCUUGAUUACCAACAACGACGAGACGGCCUACAGGGAGGAGGUGAGGGCCCUCGGAGUGUGGUGUCAGGAAAAUAACCUCACACUCAACAUCAACAAAACAAAGGAGAUGAUCGUAGACUUCAGGAAACAGCAGAGGGAGCACCCCCCUAUCCACAUCGACGGGAGAGAAGGUGGAAAGUUUUAAGUUCCUCUGCGUACACAUCACAGACAAACUGAAAUGGUCCACCCACACAGACAGCGCCUCUUCAACCUCAGGAGGCUGAAGAAAUUUGGCUUGUCACCAAAAACACUCACAAACUUUUACAGAUGCACAAUUGAGAACAUCCUGUCGGGCUGUAUCACCGCCUGGUACGGCAACUGCUCCACCCACAACCGUAAGGCUCUCCAGAGGGUAGCACAACACAUCACCGGGGGCAAACUACCUGCCGUCCAGGACACCUACACCACCCGAUGUCACAGGAAGGCCAUAAAGAUCAUCAAGGACAACAACCACCCGAGCCACUUUCUGCACACCCCGCUAUCAUCCAGAAGGUGAGGUCAGUACAGGUGCAUCAAAGCUGGGACCAAAAGACUGAAAAACUAUCUCAAGGCCAUCAGACUGUUAAACAGCUAUCACUAACAUUGAGUGGCUGCUGCCAAUAUACUGACUCAAAUCUCUAGCCAGUUUAAUAAUUAAAAAUUGGAUGUAAUAAAUGUAUCACUUGUCACUUUAAACAAUGCCACUUUAUAUAAUGUUGACAUAACCUACAUAACUCAUCUCAUAUGUGUAUACUGUACUCUAUACCAUCUACUGCAUCUUGCCUAUGCCGCACGGCCAUCGCUCAUCCAUAUAUUUAUAUGUACAUAUUCUUAUUCAUUCACUUACACUUGUGUGUAUAAGGUAGUUGUUGUGAAAUUGUUAGAUUACUUGUUAGAUAUUACUGCAUGAUCGGAACAAGAAGCACAAGCAUUUUGCUACUCUCGCAUUAACAUCUGCUAAACAUGUGAAUGUAACCAAUAACAUUUGAUUUGAUUUGAAUUCAACAUAAAAAAAAGCAUUCAUUUGUAGACAAACUGUAAUAAAAGCCAGACUAAGCAGAAAGUGUUACAGUUUCUGCAAUAGAAAUGUUAAGGUAAUUUCCGAUUGCGCCGAAAUAUGCAGAGUUUACUUUGAAUGUAGUAUCCACUAACGCGAGAACAUUGCCUUUAAAUUUCAAUCACGCUGUAACGCUGAAUUUCCGCAAUACAGAUUGAGUAGAGCCCUAAGUCAGUGGCACAGAUGGAACUAUUCAAGUGGAAGAAUGUAGUAUUGUUGCCGUGCAAGCAGCACCUGUAGUAUUGUUGCCAUAAGCAGCACCUGUAGUAUUGUUGCUGUACACGCAGCACCUGUAUUGUUGCCAUAAGCAGCACCUGUAGCAUUGUUGCUGUUUAAGCAGCACCUGUACUAUUGUUGCUGUAGAAGUAGCACCUGUAGUAUUGCUGCUGUACAAGAAGCACCUGUAGUAUUGCUGCCAUAAGCAGCACAUGUAGUACUUUGCUGUAUAAGCAGGACCUGUAGUACUGUUACUGUAUAUUCAGCACCUGUAGUAUUGUUGCUGUAUAAGCUGCAUCUGUGGAAUUCAUGCCAUAAGCUGCACCUGUACUAUUGUUGCUAUAAAAGCAGCACAUGAAGUAAGGUUGCUGUAUAAGCAGCACCUGUAGUACUGUUGCUGUAUAAGUUGCACCUGUAGUAUUAAUUCCAUAAGCUGCAAAUGUAGUAUUGUUGCUGUAUAAGCAGCACCUGUAGUAUUGUUGCUAUAUAAGCAGCACCUGUAGUAUUGUUGCUGUGCAAGAUGCACCUGUAGUAUUAAUGCCAUAAGCAGCACAUGUAGCAUUGUUAGUUCCUUUGAUUUGAUUUGAUUUGAUUUGUUGCUGUAUAUGCAGCACCUGUACUAUUAUCCAUCUGAAACUUUGCCAUCUUGUGGAUACUAUUGGAAUUACAACCAGAGUGAUGGCUGGAACUGUGACCUUUCUCUUGCAUUGCAAAGAUGGUGGUAGAAAAAGACUGGUUGUUUUUUUCUUAUUAUUUUCUUCUACCAGAUCUAUUGUGUUAUAUUCUCCUACAUUAAAUUCACAUUUCC
ensembl:lncRNA